rnacentral:rRNA from 1 species
UACGAAGGGGGCUAGCGUUGCUCGGAAUCACUGGGCGUAAAGGGUGCGUAGGCGGGUCUUUAAGUCAGGGGUGAAAUCCUGGAGCUCAACUCCAGAACUGCCUUUGAUACUGAAGAUCUUGAGUUCGGGAGAGGUGAGUGGAACUGCGAGUGUAGAGGUGAAAUUCGUAGAUAUUCGCAAGAACACCAGUGGCGAAGGCGGCUCACUGGACCGAGACUGACGCUGAGGAGCGAAAGCGUGGGGAGCGAACAGG